rnacentral:misc_RNA from 1 species
GCGUGAUCCAAUUGCAGAAUACUAACAACAUCAAAACAUAAACCAUCAAAUUAAAAUCCCUAUAAUAAUUCCAAAACAAUAAAAUUUCAAUAUACUAAUUCUCAAGAUAUUGAAAUCAGCAUGCAUGAAUAACAAUUUUAAGGUAAAUGGAACAAAAAUAAAGUUGAAUCAUUUACUACAAGCAGAACAAUUUUAUUAAUUUGGUUCACAAGUUAAUGAUUUUGUUUCAAUUGUAUCCAAUGUAUCUGGAGCAUCUGCCCACGCUAAUAUUUUGCUGAAAGGCAAGACAAGCAUCGAUAUAACUUGUUAAUUUGGAGGAAAUGGACCAAACCUCAAGCCAUAAGUGCUGUCAAACAUGGUUUAAAUUGCAGCCACGGCCACGUUGGCGGUUGCGAUAAUGAGUAAUGAAAACAGGCCUGUAACAGCCAUAAUGUAACGGCGGUCUAGCGCUACACAAAUUUCUUUAAAAAUUUUG